AUGGUCAAAUCACGCUGAAACACCGGUUCUCGUACGAUCACCGAAGUUAAGCAUCAUAGAGCCAGGUCAGUACUUAGAUGGGGGACCGCUUGAACACCUGGUACUGUAAG
rnacentral:rRNA from 1 species